GGGGAAUAUUGCGCAAUGGGCGAAAGCCUGACGCAGCCAUACCGCGUGUGUGAAGAAGGCCUUCGGGUUGUAAAGCACUUUCAGUGGGGAGGAAAAGCUGGUGGCUAAUAUCCAUCGGCCGUGACGCUACCCACAGAAGAAGCACCGGCUAAUUCCGUGCCAGCAGCCGCGGUAAUACGGAAGGUGCGAGCGUUAAUCGGAAUUACUGGGCGUAAAGCGCACGUAGGUGGCUUGGUAAGUCGGAUGUGAAAGCCCCGGGCUCAACCUGGGAACUGCAUUCGAUACUGCCGAGCUAGAGUACGAAAGAGGGGGGUGGAAUUCCAGGUGUAGCGGUGAAAUGCGUAGAGAUCUGGAGGAACACCAGUGGCGAAGGCGGCCCCCUGGUUCGAUACUGACGCUGAGGUGCGAAAGCGUGGGGAGCAAAC
rnacentral:rRNA from 1 species